rnacentral:ncRNA from 1 species
ACUGUGAAGAGACAUGAGAGGUGUAGAAUAAGUGGGAGGCCCUCGCGGCCGCCGGUGAAAUACCACUACUCUUAUCGUUUUUUCACUUACCCGGUGGGGCGGGGAGGCGAGCCCCGAGCGGGCUCUCGCUUCUGGUGUCAAGCGCCCGGCUUCCAGGCCGGGCGUGACCCGCUCCGGGGACAGU